UACGAAGGGGGCUAGCGUUGCUCGGAAUCACUGGGCGUAAAGCCCACGUAGGCGGCUUUUUAAGUCAGGGGUGAAAUCCUGGAGCUCAACUCCAGAACUGCCUUUGAUACUGGCGAUCUCGAGUCCGGGAGAGGUGAGUGGAACUGCGAGUGUAGAGGUGAAAUUCGUAGAUAUUCGCAAGAACACCAGUGGCGAAGGCGGCUCACUGGCCCGGUACUGACGCUGAGGUGCGAAAGCGUGGGGAGCAAACAGG
rnacentral:rRNA from 1 species